GAACGCUGGCGGCGUGCUUAACACAUGCAAGUCGAGCGGUAAGGCCCUUCGGGGUACACGAGCGGCGAACGGGUGAGUAACACGUGGGUGAUCUGCCUCGUACUCUGGGAUAAGCCUGGGAAACUGGGUCUAAUACCGGAUAUGACCACGAAUCGCAUGGUUUGUGGUGGAAAGAUUUAUCGGUGCGAGAUGGGCCCGCGGCCUAUCAGCUUGUUGGUGGGGUAAUGGCCUACCAAGGCGACGACGGGUAGCCGACCUGAGAGGGUGACCGGCCACACUGGGACUGAGACACGGCCCAGACUCCUACGGGAGGCAGCAGUGGGGAAUAUUGCACAAUGGGCGAAAGCCUGAUGCAGCGACGCCGCGUGAGGGAUGACGGCCUUCGGGUUGUAAACCUCUUUCGACAGGGACGAAGCGCAAGUGACGGUACCUGUAGAAGAAGCACCGGCCAACUACGUGCCAGCAGCCGCGGUAAUACGUAGGGUGCGAGCGUUGUCCGGAAUUACUGGGCGUAAAGAGCUUGUAGGCGG
rnacentral:rRNA from 1 species